GGUGUUGGUAAAUUAUAUUGCAAAACCUUUGACAAAAUUGUUUAACUUGUCAAUGGAGAAAGGAGCAGUUCCAGAUUAUUGAAAGAUGGCUCAUGUUACACCUAUAUCAAAAAGGAGACAAGAAAAAGCCUAGUAACUAUUGUCCAGUGAGUUUAACCAGCACACUAUGCGAGAUGAUGGAAUCUUUCCUCAGAGAUGCGAAAGUAGACAACAUGAACAGAUCCAACUUGUUUCCAGAUGAAAGGCAGGUCUUGAACACAACUACUUGAUGUGUCUGAAACUUGGCAUGAGAAGCUAGAUAGCGGAUGAAGUGUGGAUUGUAUAUACCUGGACUACAGUAAAACAUUUGAUAGUGUGCCACAUAUCAGACUGUUGGAAAAAGUUAAAGCAUAUGGUAUCAGAGGCAACAUACUGAAUUGGAUUCAGUCUUUUCUCAGUGGAAGAGUGCCGCAAGUAGUGAUCAAUGGUGUAGUAUCUACAGCAUCAAUGGUUACGAGUGGUGUAGCACAGUGCAGCGUCUUCGGGCCAACCCUCUUCGUUCUUUAUGUUAAUGACCUGCCUGAAGCUAUCCAGUCCGACAAGUGCAAAGUUAAACUUUUUGCAGACGACACAAAGCUCUACUCACCAGUUGCAAAUAGCGAGGACUGUGCUAUUCUCCAAGGUGAACUAGCUAAACUUUGCAACUCACCUUCAACAUGGAAAAAGUGCAAAGUUAUCCACUAUGGAAAAAAUUAUCCCCAUUGUGAGUACAUGUAUAUGUCAGAUGCAAACAAACCAAUUCCUGUUGAUGAAAAAGAAAAGGAUCUUGGGGUCAUGUUUGAUGAGAAAAUGUUUGCAAAUCACAUUGACACUGCCUGUAAUGUUGCAAACCGUAAAGUAGGAAUCAUCAAGCGGACUUUUUCAUCUAUUGACAACAAGGGUAAGGUUUAUAACUUAUAAGCAAUUGUAUAAAUCAAUUGUGAGGCCUACAUUGGAAUGCUUUUCACGUGUAUGGCAACUCUAUCUAAAGAAACACAUUACCAAAAUGGAAAGGGUCCAGCGUUGGACAACUAAACUAAAAUCUACUUAAGCAAUUAGUAUGUGAGCAACAAAAUACCUGAACCUGCCUACGCUAGCAUACAGAAGGCUCAAUGCCUUCUGUGAUAUGCUACAAGCCUACAAAAUACUGCAUGGAAUAGCUGAACUCCAACAAUUUAAGUUUUCAACACUUUAUCAGUCACCAUAACUAGAGGUCACCAGUUUAAACUCCAAAAAAGCAUGUGUAAGAUCUAUUCAAAGAAUGUCAGUGAGUGGAAUAACCUUCCAUCCUAUGUUGCAGAAAGUCUGUUGACCUCUUUUAAAUCGAUCCUUGACAAAUUCUGGUCACAAAAGAAGGACAAGUUUAACCCUGUUGUUCAUACACUUCCACAACAACACAGCGCUUAUUCGAAGUGAUUACAGGUACUGCUGAUCUUUAGACACCGAGAGACAAAUAAGUUUUGUAUAACUUUAUGCCUACAUGUACUUCCAAAGUAUGAUUUCCAAGGCAGGAUCUCACAAGAAGCAUAAUGUUGUCAACACCCAUAAAGAUAAAACAAGAAACUACUGAAGUGACACAUGCUCGUGUUAAGUUUGAAGGAGUAUUACAAAAUCUUAUAGAAAGAGCUGAUGAGAGUCUGCCAUUAGAUGACGAAAUAACAAUAAAGGAUGAACAAGACUUUGAUAGGUAAGUAAAACAUACCUCCCAACAAAAAAUAGAGAAUAUGGCAUACCCUCCAUGUUUUGUUUUUAAUCCCUCUUACUAAGUUUUUUUCCUCUCGCAUAACUUGCCCUCUUCUUAUCUCACUCCCCUUCUCUUUAUCUGUUUGAUAUUAGCUGCUACAAUCUAGAUAAUAAUAUGUCUUUCUGUAAGAAUAUCCUACGCAUACAUGGUCCAUGCUACUCCUCCUAUCCUAGCAUAGGCAAAGCAAUGGGGAAUGCCAGAAAUUUUGCUGGAGAGAUGAUGAGUGAGGUUCUUGUUGAAAAUAUGCAUACUUUUAUUAAUGAAGACGCCUUUAAUCAAGAGAUUAGGCCCCCAUUCCACAGAGGGGAAACCUUUAAAGGAUCUUUGAAAGACCAAAAAUUGGCAAGGUCUUACAGUACCAGUCUUUAAGAUCACUGAACUUUGUCAUCUCCAUGGAAUGGCUCAGGAAUACUCCCGAAAGAGCUCUGAAAGACCAUGACCAUGAAACUUGCUUGGUCUUUAAGGGUCCUUCAUCAAACUUUCAAAGAUCUCCGAGGUCUUUCACGAUUCCUGAUGGAUCUGAUCUUUCAAUGGCCUUUGUGGUCCUUGUGAGUGCCAAAACUUUUUGAAACAGUUCAAAACGGUCUUUCAGUGGUCUUUCAAGAAAAUGGUCUUUUGGUGGUCUCUCAGCAGUCUUUCGAUGAACAUUCCAAGUUUUUAUUAGUCUUUCCAUGAUCUUUUGAAGGGUCUCUCAAGAUUUUUCAACCUUUUAAACCUUUACACUUUAGUUUUCUUUUAAAAGACCAAAAAGGAUUGAGGAAUAUUAAUGACAAGCUAGUAUCUGUUGAAAGGUAGCAAGGAAGUUUGUAGAUGAAUGGACCACAAAAUUAAAUGUUCAUUACAGUCAAGAUGUCUGGUCUGUAGUUUACAAUAUUCCACAGAAAUGUACCACAGACACUAAAUUAAGAUGGUUUCAGUUUCGGCUCAUUCACAGAAUUUGGGGAGUUAAUUCAUGUCUUUUAAAAAUAGAUAAAAUUGAUUCACGAUUAUGUUCCUUUUGUAAAACUGAAGAAGAAACAUUAAUUCAUUUAUUCUCUGUAUGUCCGAUAACUUUAUUAUUUGGGAACAAAAUUAUACAGUGGUUAAGAGAGCUUUCAAAUAUUAAUUUACAGUUUGAUCGAGAAUUGUGUUUAUUUGGAAUUGGAUCAUUUAAUUUUUGUAUCACCUGCACAGCAUAGUGAGAGUAUAGGCGCCGCUUUUCUGACGGCGGCACCUUCAAAAGCAAAUCUUAACCAAAGGUUAAGUCUUUGAAAUGACAGCAUAACUUAGAAAAGUAUAUAGACCUAGGGUGGUAUUCUGAACCUCAAUUAGCAGUCAAUUAGCGCUCAAUUAGCAUUUUGGUAUUCUGAAAAGUCACUUUAGUGCCCCUUUCCUUAUUUGGCAGGGGUGCGUUACGCGCACUUGCAAUAGUACGCGUUAUGAAUGCGCGAAGACUUAAUUGAGUAGUUACAAGACUUGGUAUUCUGAAAAGUCUCAUAGCGCUCAAUAAGCGGACUUUCCAAUGGGAAAAGAUAAUGGUUAUAAGAGGUCCAUUAAGUCUCAUCAUCUCUUGCUAUCAAAUAGUGGCUUUCAUUUCAAAUAAAUAUUAUCAAAUCGAUUUUGACUAAAAGAAGAAGGAAGAAAGAGAAUUAAGGAGAAAGGUACAAAAAGGAAAUAGAAUGAAGGGGAAGAAUGUAGUAUAUAGAAAUAAUUAAAAUAGGAAUAGGGAAUAUAUAUUUGGUAAUAAAGAAGUUAG